rnacentral:lncRNA from 1 species
GCUGCACAGAACAAAAAUUGCAUUCAAGGUUGGAAGACUUAAUUGAUGUGCGUGUAGAAAAUAUACAAAAAAAAAAAACGUGGUGAAAAUUUUGCAAAACCAUAAAAGGGAACAUAAACCAAAUAAAAACCAAUAUAAAAGUGUUGUGGCUGCAAAGACGAAAACUUAAAAACCAACCCCUGGAUAAGGUACGCCAAGAAAAAAAUGAAAAAGUGACCUUAUUACAUAAUUCCAUGUAUGUAGUGUACAUAGGUUAUGAUCCACGUGUGGCAGGAAAUUGCUGACCUGGCCUGACCCUCGGUCUCGGAGGGGGGUCCGCUCCAGUACCACGAUCAUCCGUCCCUCUUUUUGGUGCCACCGGACCUUGCCUGCAGGCGAAAAAACGGAUGGACUUGGCGAUCGGGACCGAGUUGUUUAUAUACAUAUAUCUCACGCGCAACUAUAAAACCAUCUAUUAUAUUAUAUCACCGCGCCUUGUGUAAAGAAAUGUUGGUGCUUGCAUAUGUAGGGUG